rnacentral:lncRNA from 13 species
CAUCUGUCUGGCCCAGACCUCUCUGCAAGUUCCAGACUGAACUGCCUGCCAGAUGUCCACCAAGAUAAAAGUGUCACUACUUCAGGCCAAUUUCUUUGCUUCCUUUCCACAGGUGAAACCAGGCAGAGACUUAGGAGUUAAUCCCAGACUCCUUCCCCUAAAUGAUCCCCCACCACGCCCUCCAAGUCCUGUUCACAUCCUGCUGAGCAGAUCAGGAAUUCACAGCUUCAACACAGGAAUUGUGAAGAACACAAUUUGGUCCAUAGCAACCUACACCCCAAAUUCCGUCAGAGAACAAAACACAUGACCUGCAUACAGAAGAAAAAUGACUUUCCUUGACUUGGCUACUCUACAAAUUUGUUUGUUGAGUGUUUUAAUAUAAAAGUUAUUAUUUGCAAUUUAUCUUACUAUAAUUGCAUGACAUUCCAUUAUUUUUUAAUAAGUAGAAAUGCAAUAUGUUUGCAUGUGUGUGUUUUCAUUGGUGCCUUAUGAAACUAUCUGGCUGUUUUUUACUUAAAUAUGUUCAUUUUGUAGAGUUAAAUCUAAUAUACAUAUGUGUGUAAUUGAUCUUUAUACAUUGAUCAACCAGAUAAACCUGUAAAUUAACUUUUAUUUGCUAUGGGCAUUAUUUGUUCCACAAAAAUGCUAACAAAAAAGGUCAAAAAACAACCCAUGAUUAUGUAAACAUCAAACUAUAUUUUAUGAAACUACACAAGUUUCACUAUUGCCAUCAAUCUGUGAGUCACAGCAGGAAAAGGAAUUGAUGGGCUGAUAAGGAUCGACCUCACCUGCUUUUGAAGGAGCCACACCUCUCCUCUUUCAUGAAUUAUAAAAAUCGAGAGACAAAAGUUGCCAUUCUGGAAACAGAUGGAUGCUGCUAGCUGUCAUGUGACAAGUGAGGUUUUAUUUAACUUUAGCUCACAGUUCCCUCUCACAUACAGACUGAAAGACUGAAAACAAUGCUGGGGAUCAUUAAACACGACUGGUUAUAUGGUAUCUAAUUACACCUUCAAUGUUACACCUAAAACUAAAAAUUAAUCUUUAAUCUCAAUUGUAUUACACAUCAUGAAUAAUGCGAACCUGUAUUCCAGCUCCUGAUUUCUUAUGAAAUCAGUCUAUAAAAUAAUCAGAUGAAUUUAUAAAAGUUACCCAGGAAAAAUGGUUUGAUGACUAUGGCUGCAUCUCACUUGCUUAACUUAUUCAGUGUUUUAAGCUUAAUUUCCACAAGAGGUUGGAACUGCUAAGAGUUGUUUGUUAAGAAGCUGCAAAAAGCCUAUACUUAGGUGUUUCCACACCAAACCAGACUGUGAGCCCUAGAAAUGGAUAUGAGAGGCCUUCCAAGAUCCUCUUCCCCUUUAUAGCCAUUUCCUAAAGCAAAUACCAAAAGUCUGCAUUACCCAUGAAUUGAACCAUCCUGUGCAUACAAAAUGGCCACACAGAUGGAUUACAUAAACGCUGCCAUUUCUUUCUAAUAAAAUGAGUUUGUGCACUGAAAGUCA